rnacentral:rRNA from 1 species
GACGACCGCUGGCGGCGUGCCUAAUACAUGCAAGUCGAACGCAGUGGGGACGGGUGCGUAACACGUGGGUCACCUCCCAUCAGAGGGGAUAACACUUGGAAACCGGUGCUAAACCGAUACUGAUGGAUGGACCCGCUGUGCAUUAGCUAGUUGGUGAGGUAACGGCUCACCAAGGCCAGGAUGCGUAGGGGACCUGAGAGGGGGUUCGGCCACACUGGGACUGAGACACGGCCCAGACUCCUACGGGAGGCAGCAGUAGGGAAUCUUCGGCAAUGGACGAAAGUCUGACCGAGCAACGCCGCGUGAGUGAAGAAGGUUUUCGGAUCGUAAAACUCUGUUGUUAGAGAAGCGUUAUCUAACCAGAAAGCCACGGCUAACUACGUGCCAGCAGCCGCGGUAAUUC